GGCGCUGUGGCUUGGCGGGUUAAAGCCCCAGCCUGCAGUGCCGGCAUCCCAUAUGGGCACCAGGUUCAAGUCCCGGCUGCUCCA
rnacentral:tRNA from 1 species